UACGUAGGGUCCGAGCGUUGUCCGGAAUUACUGGGCGUAAAGAGCUCGUAGGUGGUUUGUCGCGUUGUUCGUGAAAACUCACAGCUUAACUGUGGGCGUGCGGGCGAUACGGGCAGACGUGGAGUACUGCAGGGGAGACUGGAAUUCCUGGUGUAGCGGUGGAAUGCGCAGAUAUCAGGAGGAACACCGGUGGCGAAGGCGGGUCUCUGGGCGAGUGAA
rnacentral:rRNA from 1 species